rnacentral:misc_RNA from 1 species
CUGUACGUGACGUCACAUUGUUUUUUCCCUAUUAAAUUAAUGAAUCACCACUAAACAAAUUCCCUUGUUUUCAUUACUAACUCGGCUGUCCAGGGUGAAGUGAAGAUGUUUUCCAGCGGCCCCAACUACAACAAACUGAAGACCAAUCUUCGAUUGGCUCUCAAUCGCCUCAAAUUGCUGGAGAAGAAGAAGGCGGAACUGACGCAAAAGUCCAGGAAGGAAAUAGCCGACUAUUUGGCCACGGGAAAAACGGAGAGGGCGCGGAUUCGCGUGGAGCACAUCAUAAGGGAGGACUACCUGGUGGAGGCAAUGGAAAUGGUGGAGAUGUACUGUGACCUGUUGCUCGCCAGAUUCGGCCUCAUCACCCAGAUGAAGGAGCUGGAUACAGGGAUCGCCGAGCCGGUGGCCAGCUUGGUUUGGGUGUGUCCCCGCCUCCAGAGCGAUAUAGCCGAGUUGAAGAUCAUAUCGGACAUAUUUGUGACCAAAUACGGGCCACAGUUCGCCGAGCAAUCGAGAACCGCCACUGGGGAGCACUAUGUGUCGGAGAAACUCAUGCACAAGCUCACGCUGCAGGCACCGCCAAAGCUUUUGGUGGAGAACUACCUCAUUGCCAUUGCCAAGAACUACAACAUCGAGUACGAACCGGAUCCGCAGGUCAUGCAGGAGGAUCACCCACCGCAGCCGCAUCUGAUUGAUCUUUCGGAUCGGAACAACUUGAGUGGUGGUGGUGGUGGUGCCGGCGGAGGUGGUCCUGCACCGCCACAAAUGGGCUUUGUUGGUUAUCCGGCUAUGCCAGCACUGCCCGAUAUGCCAAUGCCACCGAGCGCCAAGCCCUUCAAUUACCCACCCUUCGGUGGAGGUGGCGGCGGAGGAGGUGGAGCCCCAGCUGGCGCAUAUGCUGUGCCGCAUCCCGUGCAGCCACCGCCGCCCUUUGCCUACAAUAUACCACCCAAUCAGCCGGCACCGCCUGCAGUCCUGCCUGCCAAAUGCGCCGAGGAGAAGGAUCUGAACACCAACUUUAUCAAUCGUGAAGCGGAAAAUACGGAUGGCUCGGGCAGCCCGGAUGAGAAUAUUUUGUCAUCCAAAUGAUUCAUAGCUUGCUGUCCACUGUUAUCGCUUCGCUAGUCUCGAUGUUCCUUAUUGAUUUGUUAUGCCAGUGUUUUUAUUUUUUAUUUGCCUUAUCUUUUCUUUAAUUUUGCCUAACAGCGCCCCAAACCCGAAAAUGAUCCGCCGCCGCGUUACACCUCCAUUAAUCCCGUAAAUCUGCAGAAUGCCAACAAACCCAAACCUCAACCCCGAUCCAAGCUGCCACCGGGUAAUCCCACGCUGCCAAGUGCUCCCCCGGCGCUGGACUUCCCC